CUCGAUGAGUAGGGCGGGACACGUGGUAUCCUGUCUGAAUAUGGGGGGACCAUCCUCCAAGGCUAAAUACUCCUGACUGACCGAUAGUGAACCAGUACCGUGAGGGAAAGGCGAAAAGAACCCCGGCGAGGGGAGUGAAAAAGAACCUGAAACCGUGUACGUACAAGCAGUGGGAGCACGCUUAGGCGUGUGACUGCGUACCUUUUGUAUAAUGGGUCAGCGACUUAUAUUCUGUAGCAAGGUUAACCGAAUAGGGGAGCCGAAGGGAAACCGAGUCUUAACUGGGCGUUAAGUUGCAGGGUAUAGACCCGAAACCCGGUGAUCUAGCCAUGGGCAGGUUGAAGGUUGGGUAACACUAACUGGAGGACCGAACCGACUAAUGUUGAAAAAUUAGCGGAUGACUUGUGGCUGGGGGUGAAAGGCCAAUCAAACCGGGAGAUAGCUGGUUCUCCCCGAAAGCUAUUUAGGUAGCGCCUCGUGAAUUCAUCUCCGGGGGUAGAGCACUGUUUCGGCAAGGGGGUCAUCCCGACUUACCAACCCGAUGCAAACUGCGAAUACCGGAGAAUGUUAUCACGGGAGACACACGGCGGGUGCUAACGUCCGUCGUGAAGAGGGAAACAACCCAGACCGCCAGCUAAGGUCCCAAAGUCAUGGUUAAGUGGGAAACGAUGUGGGAAGGCCCAGACAGCCAGGAUGUUGGCUUAGAAGCAGCCAUCAUUUAAAGAAAGCGUAAUAGCUCACUGGUCGAGUCGGCCUGCGCGGAAGAUGUAACGGGGCUAAACCAUGCACCGAAGCUGCGGCAGCGACGCUGAUGCGUUGUUGGGUAGGGGAGCGUUCUGUAAGCCUGCGAAGGUGUGCUGUGAGG
rnacentral:rRNA from 1 species